UACGGGGGGGGCAAGCGUUGUUCGGAAUUACUGGGCGUAAAGGGCUCGUAGGUGGCCAACUAAGUCAGACGUGAAAUCCCUCGGCUUAACCGGGGAACUGCGUCUGAUACUGGAUGGCUUGAGUUUGGGAGAGGGACGCGGAAUUCCAGGUGUAGCGGUGAAAUGCGUAGAUAUCUGGAGGAACACCGGUGGCGAAGGCGGCGUCCUGGACAGUUCCUGACACUGAGGCACGAAGGCUAGGGGAGCAAACGGG
rnacentral:rRNA from 1 species